rnacentral:tRNA from 1 species
UACAUACUCGCCGAAUGGUACAGGCGCUUGAUUUAGGCUCAAGUUACUGCAGGUUCAAAUCCUGCGUAUGAACCA